CCUACGGGGGACAGCAGUGAGGAAUAUUGGUCAAUGGACGAGAGUCUGAACCAGCCAAGUAGCGUGAAGGAUGACUGCCCUAUGGGUUGUAAACUUCUUUUAUAUAGGAAUAAAACGAGGCACGUGUGCCUUUUUGUAUGUACCUUAUGAAUAAGGAUCGGCUAACUCCGUGCCAGCAGCCGCGGUAAUACGGAGGAUCCGAGCGUUAUCCGGAUUUAUUGGGUUUAAAGGGAGCGUAGAUGGGUUGUUAAGUCAGUUGUGAAAGUUUGCGGCUCAACCGUAAAAUUGCAAUUGAUACUGGCAGUCUUGAGUACAGUUGAGGUAGGCGGAAUUCGUGGUGUAGCGGUGAAAUGCUUAGAUAUCACGAAGAACCCCGAUUGCGAAGGCAGCUUACUAAACUGUGACUGACAUUGAUGCUCGAAAGUGUGGGUAUCAAACAGGAUUAGAUACCCGUGUAGUC
rnacentral:rRNA from 1 species